UGAACGCUGGCGGCAUGCUUUACACAUGCACGUCGCACGGCAGCGCGGGCUUCGGCCUGGCGGCGAGUGGCGAACGGGUGAGUAAUACAUCGGAACGUGCCCAGUAGUGGGGGCUAGCUCGGCGAAAGCCGGAUUAAUACCGCAUACGACCUGAGGGUGAAAGCGGGGGAUCUUCGGACCUCGCGCUAUUGGAGCGGCCGAUGGCAGAUUAGCUAGUUGGUGGGGUAAAGGCCUACCAAGGCGACGAUCUGUAGCUGGUCUGAGAGGACGACCAGCCACACUGGGACUGAGACACGGCCCAGACUCCUACGGGAGGCAGCAGUGGGGAAUUUUGGACAAUGGGCGAAAGCCUGAUCCAGCAAUGCCGCGUGUGUGAUGAAGGCCUUCGGGUUGUAAAGCACUUUUGGCGGGAACGAAAAGGACUGUGCCAAUACCACGGUUCGAUGACGGUACCCGCAGAAUAAGCACCGGCUAACUACGUG
rnacentral:rRNA from 1 species